UACGUAGGGUGCAAGCGUUAUCCGGAAUUAUUGGGCGUAAAGAGCUUGUAGGCGGUUUGUCGCGUCUGCUGUGAAAAUCCGGGGCUCAACCCCGGACUUGCAGUGGGUACGGGCAGACUAGAGUGUGGUAGGGGAGACUGGAAUUCCUGGUGUAGCGGUGAAAUGCGCAGAUAUCAGGAGGAACACCGAUGGCGAAGGCAGGUCCCUGGGCCACUACUGACGGCUGAGAAGCG
rnacentral:rRNA from 1 species